GAAGGUGGCCUGUGAGGGUUGCUGGAGGUAUCAGAAGUGCGAAUGCUGACAUAAGUAACGAUAAAGCGGGUGAAAAGCCCGCUCGCCGGAAGACCAAGGGUUCCUGUCCAACGUUAAUCGGGGCAGGGUGAGUCGACCCCUAAGGCGAGGCCGAAAGGCGUAGUCGAUGGGAAACGGGUUAAUAUUCCCGUACUUGGUGUUACUGCGAAGGGGGGACGGAGAAGGCUAUGUUGGCCGGGCGACGGUUGUCCCGGUUUAAGCGUGUAGGUGUGUGUUCCAGGUAAAUCCGGUUCACUUUAACACUGAGGCGUGACGACGAGGCACUACGGUGCUGAAGCAACAAAUGCCCUGCUUCCAGGAAAAGCCUCUAAGCAUCAGGUAACAUCAAAUCGUACCCCAAACCGACACAGGUGGUCAGGUAGAGAAUACCAAGGCGCUUGAGAGAACUCGGGUGAAGGAACUAGGCAAAAUGGUGCCGUAACUUCGGGAGAAGGCACGCUGACACGUAGGUGAAGUGAUUUACUCAUGGAGCUGAAGUCAGUCGAAGAUACCAGCUGGCUGCAACUGUUUAUUAAAAACACAGCACUGUGCAAACACGAAAGUGGACGUAUACGGUGUGACGCCUGCCCGGUGCCGGAAGGUUAAUUGAUGGGGUCAGCGCAAGCGAAGCUCCUGAUCGAAGCCCCGGUAAACGGCGGCCGUAACUAUAACGGUCCUAAGGUAGCGAAAUUCCUUGUCGGGUAAGUUCCGACCUGCACGAAUGGCGUAAUGAUGGCCAGGCUGUCUCCACCCGAGACUCAGUGAAAUUGAACUCGCUGUGAAGAUGCAGUGUACCCGCGGCAAGACGGAAAGACCCCGUGAACCUUUACUAUAGCUUGACACUGAACAUUGAGCCUUGAUGUGUAGGAUAGGUGGGAGGCUUUGAAGUGUGGACGCCAGUCUGCAUGGAGCCGACCUUGAAAUACCACCCUUUAAUGUUUGAUGUUCUAACGUGGACCCGUUACCCGGGUUGCGGACAGUGUCUGGUGGGUAGUUUGACUGGGGCGGUCUCCUCCUAAAGAGUAACGGAGGAGCACGAAGGUUGGCUAAUCCUGGUCGGACAUCAGGAGGUUAGUGCAAUGGCAUAAGCCAGCUUGACUGCGAGCGUGACGGCGCGAGCAGGUGCGAAAGCAGGUCAUAGUGAUCCGGUGGUUCUGAAUGGAAGGGCCAUCGCUCAACGGAUAAAAGGUACUCCGGGGAUAACAGGCUGAUACCGCCCAAGAGUUCAUAUCGACGGCGGUGUUUGGCACCUCGAUGUCGGCUCAUCACAUCCUGGGGCUGAAGUAGGUCCCAAGGGUAUGGCUGUUCGCCAUUUAAAGUGGUACGCGAGCUGGGUUUAGAACGUCGUGAGACAGUUCGGUCCCUAUCUGCCGUGGGCGCUGGAGAACUGAGGGGGGCUGCUCCUAGUACGAGAGGACCGGAGUGGACGCAUCACUGGUGUUCGGGUUGUCAUGCCAAUGGCACUGCCCGGUAGCUAAAUGCGGAAGAGAUAAGUGCUGAAAGCAUCUAAGCACGAAACUUGCCCCGAGAUGAGUUCUCCCUGAGACUUAGAGUCUCCUGAAGGAACGUUGAAGACGACGACGUUGAUAGGCCGGGUGUGUAAGCGCAGCGAUGCGUUGAGCUAACCGGUACUAAUGAACCG
rnacentral:rRNA from 1 species